CUACAAAGCUCGACUCUCCGCAGCAGAAUGCACAGAUUGAAGAUAAAUUGCAAGAAACCUGAGGGGAUCCUGCGCUUGAAGCUCGAAGAAAAAUUUGGACCACGUAAAGGUAGGCAUUACGUCAUCCCAUUAGACAGUCUUCAUUUGCUGCUACAGAAGCAGAGUGUGCUUCAACUACCACAAGCAGCAGUCGCCAAUGUGGAGGCGGGUACAAGUUACAAAGCAGCUUCAAGCAUGCAGGAUGGAGUGUCUUCAUUUGAAGUGUUUUUCGAGAAGCUCUGGAAAUUCUACACGUAUGAAAUGAACCCGUUAAGACCAUCAAACGGUAUGACAGCAGGGACAAUCGAACGCCAUACAAAAAAGUUAAAGAAGUUCUUUGAACAUGUAAAAGAGACAUAUAACAGACCCCCACAAACAGAGAAUGCUACAAACAUCAACUUUGUUAGCGUAUAUGUGGCAGAAUUGAGGAGGGAGCUAAACGUGGGUACAGUUGCAAACCAUAAUCAAAGCCUCAUAGUAGCAGCAAAAUAUAUUCUGAAAAAAGAGGGCCUAACAAAAAGUUGGCAAGAAAUAGCGGAAAUAACACAAUUGAGGCACAUGCAGGCCCAAUUGCAAAGCCUCUAUGAAAGAGAGCGAAGACAAAGGUACUUUGAAGCCGAUGAAAGAAUGGAAACAAGUUUUUAGAAACAUUAAAAUUUAUGAGGGACAGGAUAAUUUCGUCGAAAGGGAUGGAUGGGUAUCAAAAGCCAAGGUUAUACCAUGAUUUUGUAAUGCUUUUAUUGUUCACCACAGUGAACCCAUCAAGGAAUGCAGAUUUGAUGAAACUAAAAAUACUAUUUGACGAGGAACAGGGGAGUGUUUCAGAAAACUACAUUUUAUUUAAGGAAGAUGGCAGCACUACAAUGGUUGUAAAUGAUUUUAAAACGGAGAAAAAAUACGGGUGCAAUAGUGUGGACAUCUCCAGUUACGAUUAUGUCAACCAACAUCUACGUAAAUAUGUUGAGGAGGAGAGGGAGAAGCUUAUGUUGAGUAAGAUGAUUUUCUUCUAAUGAAGGGCACAGGGCAACCAUUUGACACAUCUGAGUCGUUUACUGUUUACAUCGAAAAGGCGUUUAAGCGACACAAUGGGGGCUUGAAGUUCACAACUACAACUUUCUCCGAAAAGCGCUCGUAAACUGGCUAAUGUGCAACGAGAAGGAGGACAAAGUAAGAAAUUCAGUUGCAAGACACAUGAGCCACUCACCACGAGUUCAGCGCCUUCGCUACAACACAGAUGAUUCAGCAAGGAAAAUAAAAAGGGCCGCUGACCACCUCACUUCUAAAACAUUGACUUUUUUGGGAGAGGACGAAAAUGACACAGAAACAGAAGCAGAAGAUACCCCUUUAUAAAUUUCACAAGGUUUAAUGAACGUUAAUAAUUACAUUAUUUUAGAAAGCUAAGACAUUGCUAAUUUUUAAUUUUCUAAGUGUCACGUCUGGUUUGUACAAAAUUCGUACAACCGGAAAUUCGAUAACAAUCAAGAGAAAAAAACAAAAAGGACAUUCGCAUAAAACAAAGGAGCAACAAGGAUUGACAACGGCAUUUACACUUCCCACAGACUAACGAGAGUAGAGCUUUUAUUAAAAAUAUGACAAUGGCUCUAACCCUAACCCUAACCCUAACCCCAACCCCAACCCCAAUUAUAUAAAUUAUAUAAACAACAUGGCAUUUAUUCUCAACAGCACCCCAGUUUAUCAACAUAAACAAGCUUGUGAAAUUCUGCUGAUGGUUCAAGACAUUUUUGGUGACAUCAAUAAAGAUGAAAUAGAAAAAGCACAGUCAGACCUUGCAGGGCGUUGUCUUGCUAAGAAUAAAGUAACCCAAUCAUCCUGGUAUGCUUAUAAUGAUGAAGGCAAAGAUGAAGAUUAUGAUGACUUAAUAGGUGGAAAUGAAUUUUAUGAUGAUUAUGAAAAACUUUCCCUCUCUGACAGUGAUAAUGAAUGGUUAUCUUAAAAUUUUGGUUAGAAAAAAACCAAUCAAAUGAUAACUAUCUUCUACCUUCAUUUAUCAAAUAUUUGUAUGAUUAUUUGCAAUUAUUUGAAUGAGCACUCUCUACAAAUUGACAAACGCACCUGAUAAAUAAUAAAAAGGGAAUGCAUACUUGUUUUUUGGCUCCACUGUGAUGCAAUACUAUUGAUAACCUAUAGGCUAAUGCGCUCAGUGUUGGACUUCUUGCUCUCAUCAUAACACUGUAUGCCAUUACAAUAGGGCAUUGACUGGUAUCCUUGACUUGGCCAUCGCAAAUCUUCUUUCUUCUUCGUGGGGAAAUAACAGAGCUCAGAAGCACUAAAUGUAAUGUUGGAGCCUUUUCUUUAAGUUCAUGGAUGAUACUUUCAUCUCCUUAAGUUAGUGAAGUCUCACAGUCUGUUUGUGACAACACGCUUGGGUUUAAAAUGCUUACUAUAGAGGCAACAUCAUUUGAAAUUUGAUCCCUGAUCCACUUAUUCAGCAAAGGUCGUAGUUGGACGUGGCAAAGAAUAUUUGGACGUGGCAAAGAAAUACUCGCGAAAUCGAAAAAUUGGUAUUGCAAAUGAGGUCAGAGCAGAUGAUGAAGAACGACUCAAACUAAUAAUUGAUCAUGUAUUUUCAGAAAUGCACAAAGCAACGAGAAAUCAGAAGCAAUUGGAGCUGAUGUGGGAAGAGAAAAGUGCUAAUCAUCCAUGGUUGAACGGUUUAAAAAAAGCCAACACCAAUAUAGUUAAAUUUUUGGUAAACAUGGCAUUUGAUUUAUACAAUGACUGUCUUUGUGAAACUAUUUCUGCUCACUCAUGGCCAGCAAGGUCUUUAACAACGCUUGCAGCCACUCGACUCAUAUCCCUUAUGGAAGAUGAAGGUCCAGAUGCAGUUCUACCAGAGUUCAAACCAACAAAUGCCACCCAUAUUGGUCGCGAGCUGGGUAAAAUAGAGAAGAGCGUAAAUAGAAAAAUAUUUCCAGUCAGAGGUAAAAUAGAGAAAUCGCAUUAACCGCUGUUUUAUCCUAUUGUCAACACUCAAUUACCGAAUAAUUGUCACCUUUGUGUUGACUAAUAGUUUAAAUAUAGGCUCUCGGGAUAAAAUGGAGAAGCGGGUCGGCUCUCACAGGUAAAAUAGAGAAAUGAAGCGCAGUAGGUUCACUGAGCACAAUUUCAUGGCUUUAAUUCGUAAAAUUCUUAGGAGAUCCUCCCGUUUUAUCAAGUUGACAAGUUUUAUUAGAUUUUAAAUCAAAACCCGGGCCAUUUAAAGGGCUUGACUCUCACGGGUAAAAUAGAGAAAGAGUUGAUGUCGCCAAGGGGUGGAGAAGGUUUUGGGACGUUUAAAAAUCGUGAAAGGAAAUAGAGGUAUGGGAUCUGUGAAAGGAAAUUGAGUGCUAAUAUUGUGUGCGGGUGAUGUUGGUUAGCAAAAUAAUUUGAAUGCGAAAACGUUAUGGGUGGUGUUGUCCUUGUCAAUUAUCUCAUAUUCAAUAAUGGGACAAAAUUGCUUCAUCUUUCAGAAUAAUUAUGUAAUGUGAUAACUAGCUUUGCAUCAUAGGAUGCACAGCUAGAUCAAAGGCAUACUUUUCCUGUAGUACUUUUAAAAAGUGAGCGAGACAUGUUUAACAAUGAUUGAAGUUGUAAAACGUAAAAUUGUUGCACCGCGCAAAAGAUCUGGAGUCGCCUUUGGGGCCCAAAUAAUAACAAGAAAUGGUUGUGCACAACACGCAUGGAGAAUGCGUGGGGGAGAUUGGAAAGGAACGGGUAGGAGAAGCCAAGCAAGAAAAUGGAAGCCAGGUGAACGUGGAAAGCAAAACAAAGCUGUGGCUCCUCUGAAUGGCUUUUCAAAAAAAAGUGUACUUUUUUUCUCGGACUCCCAACUUAGGCUAUUAGUGGAAGAUACCGUUUCGUUCCCUGCAGACUGGUACAUCAACUCGACGCCAGGAGGCUGUUUCCUUGAUGUCCUCACCAAAAUGCGCUCUGGGUCAGAACAAAUAUUGCAUGACCCCAAAUUCGUAGUGCUUAUGGUAGAAACCAACAAUAUGUCCCGACACUGCAUGCUCGAUCGUGCAAGAAGAGACUUUUCGGCAUUGGUAGAAAAUGCAAAGAAAUUAUUCAGUGGUUGUCAGGUCGUCGCAAUCUUCAUUGCACCUCGCCUGGAUGAUGUUGAUGUGAGACGGCACCUUUUCAACCAGGCCAUGGAAGAAGAGUGCCAGAAGUUCAACGUUCCCUUUUAUUACAUUGAAAACUGCAUCGAUUUUACCAACAGACAAGUAUGGUCAAGUCGAGCCAGUAUUCACCUGAGUGAAGAUAUAGCUCUACCUUCUCUUGUUGAAGGUUUGAAAAAAUACUUGUGCACGGCAUCGCAACACGUAGUAGAGCCAGCGGUGAAAAUGGUACAAAAAUGUCCUGAAUGGCUUUGGAGGGAGCUGAAGCACCACAACGUCAGAGGUAAGCUACAAGAAAAAAAGGAGCAAGAGACCCGCCCUCCGACUUUUCCUCGACCCAAGAUCGUGAAAAAGAAGCAUAAGGAUCAGUUACAAUCAUUGAAGUCACCAACUGCGGCAAUGGCUUUGCAAAAGAUUAACAAAAGCAGGGGACAAGUUGUCGGAAACGUAUUGAUACCCUGGAAGUGCAGUACCAACCCGUACAAGAAAGAAACAACAACAGAGAAAAAAUGGCCCCAAAAAAACCAAAAUGACAAACGAAAUUGAAGAAGGAAAAAGGUAAUAAUCAAUGUUUGAUGUUCGAAAAUCAGAAAGGAACAAAACAAAGUGGAUCCAACUUUUUUUGCAUGAAUUGCAAACCUUAAUGUUGAUGAUUUGUAGAACUAAAAUCAAACUUCACCUAGAGAAAGUCGUUCACUUUUCCAAUUUUAUAUCCAUACAGGACUUAAGGGCAUAUUAUUUCAUUUGAAUUUCGAAACUACUCAGGGGGUUGUAGUCACUGUCGUUUUACGUUUUAUGGCUUCUGCAAUCAGUUGACUUUGUUGGUUGAAGACGUGUUAAAUAAUGGAUGCUUUUUUCCACAUAUGAUCAGCCAAUUGAUGAGAUUCUUGCUGAAUUUGAUGCAUCUUUUACUAGUCUGAAUGGUUGGUAAUCAGUAUUACAUCUAACGUAUUAUAGUAACUUCAUUGACGGAUAAAUUUCGAACGCAAUUAAUCAAUUUACCAUAAAUAUACUCCCCUAAUUGCUUGCCAUUAUUUGAUUAUUCUUGAAUUUGGUUUUGAGAUGCCAGGAUAAGAAUAAUAUAUAUCACUUUAACUGUUAUAUUUGGCUGCAUUACGCUUUUGUAAAUGGGACAUUGGUAAUAAUUACUGACAGAUGUAAUUUUACCCAUCCGCCGUGAUUUGUUUUAUUCAUCGUUUUACAUUUGAAUAUCCUCUAGGAAAAAGUAUAGAUUGUAGCGUAGCAAAGAAAAGGGGAACCCUGGCUUAAUUUUUCUAACUUUUGGCAAUUUUGUAUAGAGCUAGUUGAGAUCAUCUUUACGUAGCAGCACGGUAUGCAGUUGAACAAUACACAACCUUCACCAUACUUUAAAAUAUGGUUUAUACUUUACGAUACUUCACAAAACUUUUGAAAAAUAUAGUUUGAUUUUAGCAUAAUAUUCACGAAAUAUAUUAUAGUUUAAUUAAUAAAUUACCUUUUCUUAUUAACUUACAGCCCCAUCUGAAGGAAGACAAGAGAACAUAAAAAGGAGAAAGAAGAUUGGUUCAAGUAUUGGCUUGACAAAACAAGUAAAUCUCAGAAAGACAUUCGGAGGUGGUGGACCAGCAAAGGUAAGAUAUAUACAAAUAUUUUUUUGGAAAAAAGUUUCUAAAGACAUUCUGUAAUGUUUCUAGCUUUCGACAAAUUUUUUUGCAAAAAUGAAAUGUUCUAUAUGCGAUAUAUAGUAUAUAUAACAUUUAUAUGUUAUCCUUCAUUUUAGCCCGUUAUUGAUCUAAAUGCAGUAGAGCCAAAUAAUUCUAAGAGGCCACGUAGAUCUUGCUAGAAGAUUCCAUUACCAAGUGUGCUCCAGAACCAACAUUGUACCUUUGUGCCUUCAAAUCACGUUGAAAGUAACAUAAGCAAUUUUAAUAAAAAGUCGAUACCCUGCAUUUCAACAAUAGAUAAGGCUUUGACUGGUCUUCGUUUAAGAGAAAAUAGUGAAGGUAUAUCAUACAGUGCUAAAAUAGGUUCACAGUAUUACGAUAUCGAGAGUCUUAAGCAAUGCCGAGAAAUAUUUGAAAGUAUCAAAACAUGUAAUGAAAUUAGGGUAGAGGAUGAUUGGCUUGCCAAUGUAUCUGCACAUACUGAUAGACCGUUUGGUGCAGAGAACAUUGAUCCAACACUAGCAGUCCGUCUUAUAUCUAAAGUCCAAUCUCCAGUGAGAAAAAAAACUGCGAAAUGCGAAAAAGUUCGCGCGAAAUACGUCUUAGGCAUGCGCAGUAAUCUUUUGCUGGGAUUUCUCGCGAAGAAUUUCUCUGCGAAAAAAAGUUAAAAUGAGUUUAACUUUUUUCGCUUUUCGCUUGCGAAAUCCUUCAACAGCCAAUCAUAUUCCGUAUUCCUUUGUCACGCUUCCAAACUUUACAUUCCAAUGUCGUGAGGUCAACAAAAGCAUUCAAAGGAAUUUGUCGCGUGAAGUAUUUCGCAGCGAAAUUUCGCAAGACUUUUUCUCACUGGAGAUUGGGCUUAACAUCCAAGAUCAUUCGGACCUGCAUAUAGUCGCAAAUAGCCAGCUACGCGUUAGCAGUCUAAAAAGACUUAUUGGUAAGAGAUGGCUUGAUGGAGAAAUUAUGGUGGAAAUUUGUCGUCUUAUCAUUUCCCAUGUACAAGAUACCUUUGCAUUUAACUUCAAUGAUUCGUUAGGAAUGGAACAGUUAGCUAGAAAGGUUGUAAUGGCUAGUAGUGCAAAAAAUGUCGAGAAACUUGUUUUUAGUAUAAACGUUAAUUUCUCUAAUAAUGAGACACAUAUUGACCCACUAUAUAGAAACGGGUGCUAUUCGGAAGGGAAUCAUUUUGCAGUAGGUGUUUACUGUUUUGCCACUAAUCAUCUAUUGUACGGAGACUCUCUAGGAUACCCUAUCUCUAAGGACCUUGUAAGGCUCUUUACUGACUUGCUAGCGCGUCUUCGUGGGGAUGCUUUUGCAAAGAAAUGUGUAUUUUCAGCAGCACACUGUGAACGCAAAAGACUACAAGGUUCUGUCACUAGCAUGCAUGCUUGCAACAGAAGUUGUUGGCGAUUUUUCCCUUUACAGCGUGAUGGUCACAUUUGUGGGGUUUCAACAAUUAUAUGUAUGUGCUUGGCUGCUUACGAUUUCUGCUCGUUUAUUUCCUUGAAAGGCACAACUGAAGACGAAAAUAUUGGUUAUCGGUAUUUGAAAAACAUAUCUCAUUACAGCGAUUUUCUUAGGCUUACAAUUGCCAAAUGGUGCAUGGAUGGAGAGAUAGAUGUAGAAUCUCUAAAUACCCAUAGACAAACGUAUCCAGAUACUGCCAACGUCACCUCACAACAAAAUAGACAAAAUGAAUCUCCUGCUGUCAAUGUGUCCGAAGAAAACGAAAAUUCGAUUGCUUCUCCAUCAAUAGGAAGCAAACAAGAAAGUUGGAGCUUUAG